GGAAAGAUGAAUCAAAGAAGGUAAUAAUCCUGUAGUCGAAAAUGUUGUCUCUCUUGAGUGGAUCCUGAGUACGACGGAGCACGUGAAAUUCCGUCGGAAUCUGGGAGGACCAUCUCCUAAGGCUAAAUACUCUCUAGUGACCGAUAGUGAACCAGUACCGUGAGGGAAAGGUGAAAAGCACCCCGGAAGGGGAGUGAAAUAGAACCUGAAACCGUGUGCUUACAAGUAGUCAGAGCCCGUUAAUGGGUGAUGGCGUGCCUUUUGUAGAAUGAACCGGCGAGUUACGAUUUGAUGCAAGGUUAAGCAGUAA
rnacentral:rRNA from 1 species